UAGAAAUGUAAAAUAUGACCAUUUGGAAAAAAAAAACAUGACCGUUUAUUUAUAAUUGAUUUUUUUUUGAAUUUUUUUUAAUUUUUUGCCAGGCCAAAAGAGCACAACGGCUCUUUUGCCUUCCCAAGAUAAAUCACCACCGUCCACGUAAAGGAUUUCCAACAGAUGAGAUCCAUAUCCAAAAUGAUCCAACCCUCUCCAUCUCACUUCUACUCUAUCUCCCUCUCUCUCUCACUCUCACUUCUCUGUAUAAUCAUCUUCCUCUCUUCAUCAUCCAGAAUGAUCCAACCCUCUCCAUCUUACUUUGACUUUGUCCCCCUCUCCCUCUCACUCUCACUCUCACUUCUACCCCCCACCGCUCUCUUGAUCUCACUCAUCUCUCUCUCUCUCUCACUCGUACAACCCAAAUCUUUGAUCGAUCACCCUCUUAAUCGAUCACCCUCUCAGUCCCGCCGUUUGCUAAUCACCCUCUCAAUCGAUUAUCCAUGUCUCCAAAUCUCACAAACCCACCUUAAUCGAUCAUCCAUGUCUCCAAAUCACAAACCCACCUCCAAAUCUCACAAACCCACCUCCAAUCUCACAAACCCACCUUCUUCAUCAUCCAUGUCUCCAAAUCUCACAAACCCACCUCCAUCUCCCAUGGUGAGAGUAGUCACUGUCCCAGCAAGGGGGAAUAAUAUUUGUUUGUAGUAGAUAUCUAACCCUACAUAAAGGGCUUUGUAGUCUGCCUUUUCCUCAUACCAACUGCUCUCUCUCUCUCUCUCGGCUCUCGGGUAGUCUAUUUUCUCUAGUCUUCCUCAUUCUUGUUUUUGAUUUCCUAUUGUUUGGGUUGUAGUAGUUAGAAGGAAAUAUGCUACUUGUGUUGAUGAUGAUGUUGCAUUCUCAUGAAAUAUGGCUUUGUUUUUGGUUGUGCAGUGCAGAGAGAAAUGGCUUCUCACUUAUGGAGUGUGGUCCUUCUAGCGCUUGGUCUGAUGAUGGUGUCUGGAAAAAUGGGUGCUGCACCCAGGAAGCAUGUUGAUGUUCCAUUUGGUAGAAACUAUGCUCCUACUUGGGCUUUCGACCACAUUAAGUACUUCAAUGGAGGCUCUGAGAUUCAGCCCUCCCUGGACAAGUACACUGGUACUGGGUUCCAGUCAAAGGGAUCUUACUUAUUCGGUCACUUCAGUAUGCAA